rnacentral:misc_RNA from 1 species
AUUUUAUUUCUAAAAAUUAUUUUAGUAGUAAAUAAUAGGAAUAAUUCGACUAUACUUCACACAUAGUUCUUUUGUAAGUCUGCGUUUUAUGUAAAAAUGUCAAGCUCCAAGUAUUACAAUGCACGGGUAAAAGCUCGGAUUGCAUGAAUCUGAAGGUUGAUGCUUGUGCUCAGGAAUUAACAAAUCAGGGGAUCUGCCAGAGAAUCAUUCAGAAUGCAACUUCAAUUGAGUUCACCGUAGGAAUUAACAAAUUCAGGGAAUCUGAGAUCUGAACGGUAACCGGAGAUAAAAAGCAAGAUCCAUGCAACCUUUCACCGCGGUCUCCGAUUCAGUUGAUGCAAGGCGGGAUCUAAUUCGCUUCUGUCCAAUCUCAACCAAUCACAUAUCGCCAUUUGGCGCUGAUAAGAAUAUAUAUCCAAGCGAAGCCAAUCAGUUCCCGACCUGCACCAAGCGAAUUAGAGACCGCCGGUAACAGAAUCAACUUCUCCCUCCCUCGAACAUCUCUCCCAUUUUCUUUCUCUCUCUUCGAGAUAUAAAUGUUGAAUUAAGUAAGAUAGAGAGAGAAAAUCUAC